rnacentral:snRNA from 1 species
GUGCAAAGCUUCGGCGGUACAUAUACGAAAACUGGAAUAAUACAGAGAAGAUUAGAAUGACCCUGUACAGGUAUGACACAUGAAUUCGUGAAGCAUUCUAUAUCUUU